rnacentral:misc_RNA from 1 species
CGAACGUUUUGUUGACAGAAGGAUCGCACGCCCAACACUGCAGAUUCGGCACAGCAACUAAAGUGCUUGAAGCUUAAUGACUGGACUUGAACGAUUGAAUAAGAAGCAGAGCUCUGUUAUGUUUUUUUGUAUUUUAUUUGAAUAUUUUUUUUUCGUAAUCGAAUAGGUUUCAAUCAAAAAAGUUCCACAUUCGAAACGUCAAUCGCUAGUUACUUCAAUAAUCCGCGUGUUUGAUGUGCGGUCUAAUGACGACUGAAAUCCACUGAGGCAUCUUGCUGCUUAUAAGAUUUCGUUAUGUGAUGCAAUUCUUUACUGCGGAAGAGAUUGUACCUACUAUCUGUACUCAAUAUAAUUGCAGAUUGGUACCAGCUCUAGCAGAUAAUGUUUUCGGUCGAUUUACUUCAGAUUUACUGAAAACCGUCGUUGCGAGUGAAAAUAAAAGUCUCUACGAAAUUCUGUCAACCAACAGUGACCGGAGAUUCUUAAUCUUCAAUCAAGGCAAAUUCAUCACUAUUCUUUGAG